AGAGUUUGAUCCUGGCUCAAAGUGAACGCUGGCGGUAUGCUUAACACAUGCAAGUCGAACGAGAACGGCUCUAGCUUGCUAGGGUGUCAGCUAAGUGGCGGACGGGUGAGUAAUAUAUAGCUAACCUGCCCAUAAGUAAGGGAUAACACUUAGAAAUGAGUGCUAAUACCUUAUAAUCCUUAAUGAUAUUAAGUUGUUGAGGCAAAGAAUUUCGCUUAUGGAUGGGGCUAUAUUGUAUCAGCUUGUUGUUAGGGUAAUGGCCUAACAAGGCUAUGACACAUAGUUGGUCUAAGAGGAUGACCAGCCACACUGGAACUGAGACACGGUCCAGACUCCUACGGGAGGCAGCAGUGGGGAAUAUUGCACAAUGGGCGAAAGCCUGAUGCAGCAAUACCGCGUGGAGGAUGAAUCAUUUAGGUGUGUAAACUCCUUUUAUAUAGGAAGAUAAUGACGGUACUAUAUGAAUAAGCACCGGCUAACUCCGUGCCAGCAGCCGCGGUAAUACGGAGGGUGCAAGCGUUACUCGGAAUCACUGGGCGUAAAGAGUGUGUAGGCGGUUUGGUAAGUCAGAUGUGAAAUCCUAUGGCUCAA
rnacentral:rRNA from 1 species